rnacentral:lncRNA from 1 species
AAAUUGUUCCAAUAAACUCCUUUCCCUAACGUAUGGUAUCUGAACUAUGAUCAUAGGCAAAAGAGCUGAUAAAACACCUGGGUUUGAACUUUUUCUAUUUUUGUAACAUAGCUGUCAGUGUUUUCUUUUCUGCAUCUUGCCUUAAGAAAAAUCCUCUAUUUCAUCAUUGGAACUGUUUUGUCCUUAGAAAACAGAGCUUUGCCUAUUGUGUUGAAGGGAGAACCUGGAGGACAAAUGAUUCUGCUUGGUUUAAUAUACAGAGGUCAAUACCACCAGUCAUUACUAGCAGAUUUGCUUCACCUAUGGAAACCCAGAGCGUGAUUAGGUCCUUGUCAUUUUUGAGUAAUGUAGUAGGAAAGUAGUAAUGAAGAUAAGCACCUGUUGAAUCAAUUGCAGAGAGGUACAACUGAAACCAUACAGCUCUUUUCCAGACUUCAGAUGAUGAGGUUAUUUGCAGGCUAAUUAGCCUUGUGGGGACUUUAGGCUGAAUGGAGGACACAAACAAGGCCUGUUUGAGGCCUGCCCGUGGCAUACUGAUUGCAGACAAGUGUGUGCAACUGCAGGACACAGCUCUGCUGGGGCAGGAAGAGAGGUUGCUUCCAGGUGGUGCUGGGGUUCAGUUCCCAGCUACAGGUUUGGGCUUAAAAGGAGGAAAAGAGACGUGAAAGUGAGCUCUUACGAGUGAGGAGGUGAUAACGCCCAGUAAGUACCCCAUUGGAUUGUUCUGUAUGAUGCAGUUGGUUUUCCAGCUUUAUAUCUCUUCAUUGUGUUAAGAGUCUCUGAGGCACAAGAAAAGUUGAUGUAUUUGCUGCAGUAUAAAGGCAGUCUAUGCUGUCUUGGAUAAAGGAGCAAUUGAAGGGUGAGUAGAUGUAUUACAACUUGCCCUCCUUUAGCUGAUAAAGAUUAAAAAGCAGGGAAAACCCAACAGCAUGAUCAUCAGCUGCCUAAAUUCUUUCGGCUUGCAAUCAGCUUGGGGAAUCUGUUAAAGCCUUUGUUGUGUAAGUUAAACAUUGCUCAGAUGUAUCUGACGAUUUCACCAUCAUAUUCCUGAAACUGCUAUCUGAACUCAGUCAUAGACAAUAGACAACAUGCACAUCUGCGUGCAGAGUCAAGGAGUGAUCAUGACUUCUUAGACCAGAUCCUGUAAGUAGAUAUGUGUCGUCCCCUUGGAAGCAUGCCUCAGCAGUUCUUCUUGUGAAGUCAAGACCAGAAAGCAGAGCUGGCUUUAGAGGGAAGGUUCUGUUCGGGGUUCAUCUAGAUAAGGGGCUCUGACUGAUGCUCUCAACUCAUAGCGUUUUAAAGAAGUGUCAAGCAUGGACAUGUUUGCAACUGGUGUGAUGAGGGUGCUGCUGGCUAGCAAGCUGUCCCAUCUAUGUAACAUUCAUCUGUAGACAGACAUAUUUCAAGGUAUAGGCAGGGUAGAGGUCUAGCACUUGCACAUCUCAAAACUUUGUGCUGCUUCUCCUGGGCUGAAUGUACUUUCUUCUCUCCAUCUCUUCUUA